UGAGUAACACGUGGGUGAUCUGCCCUGCACUCUGGGAUAAGCCUGGGAAACUGGGUCUAAUACNGGAUAGGACCAUGGGAUGCAUGUUCUGUGGUGGAAAGCUUUUGCGGUGUGGGAUGGGCCCGCGGCCUAUCAGCUUGUUGGUGGGGUGAUGGCCUACCAAGGCGACGACGGGUAGCCGGCCUGAGAGGGUGUCCGGCCACACUGGGACUGAGAUACGGCCCAGACUCCUACGGGAGGCAGCAGUGGGGAAUAUUGCACAAUGGGCGCAAGCCUGAUGCAGCGACGCCGCGUGGGGGAUGACGGCCUUCGGGUUGUAAACCUCUUUCAGUAUCGGCGAAGCUUGCGGGUUUUCUCGCAGGUGACGGUAGGUACAGAAGAAGCACCGGCCAACUACGUGCCAGCAGCCGCGGUAAUACGUAGGGUGCGAGCGUUGUCCGGAAUUACUGGGCGUAAAGAGCUCGUAGGUGGUUUGUCGCGUUGUCCGUGAAAACUCACAGCUCAACUGUGGGCGUGCGGGCGAUACGGGCAGACUGGAGUACUGUAGGGGAGACUGGAAUUCCUGGUGUAGCGGUGGAAUGCGCAGAUAUCAGGAGGAACACCGGUGGCGAAGGCGGGUCUCUGGGCAGUAACUGACGCUGAGGAGCGAAAGCGUGGGGAGCGAACAGGAUUAGAUACCCUGGUAGUCCACGCCGUAAACGGUGGGUACUAGGUGUGGGUUUCCUUCCUUUAGGGAUCCGUGCCGUAGCUAACGCAUUAAGUACCCCGCCUGGGGAGUACGGCCGCAAGGCUAAAACUCAAAGGAAUUGACGGGGGCCCGCACAA
rnacentral:rRNA from 1 species